GAGGAAACCAGAAUUUUCUCAACAGAGGUCGACGCCCAAUCCACCUUACACAUGUCUCUUGGUCAUAAGGUAUUUAUCUUCUUCUGUCAAUGUUAUCGCUGCUACCUCUUCCUCUUCUCUAUGCGGAUUCUGUUUUGAUUAGGUUUCAGACAGUUUCUUGAUCAAGAUCCCAGGUACGUGAAUCUUGAAGUUAUCAUUGAUAUUACGUUGUCGUUGAUUCGGUUAGUUUUGUUCCUCCCAGUUUCGUCGACUGGCGCUCGUCUUAAAUAUUUUUGAAUUUCCAACAAUAUUCGCAUGAGUUUUGUCUAUAGUAGUCAGGUGCCAAAUAUGUUUUCAGAUAUUUUCUUGAUCGAAGACAACAGGUUCGUGAAUCUUGGAUCUUUUUUUUGUUCGAAUUUAUCAGUCUAUUGUUUUCUUCUAUUCUAUCAUUGAUAUUGAACAUAUUAAAUUCGGUUAACUUCGUUCCUCCCAAUCUCGUCAACUGGCUCUCCAGUUGGUGCUCCUCUUAAAUAUAUUCUUUAAUCUCUCGCAACAUUCGCUUAAAUUUUGUCAACCGAAGCGGAAGCCCGCUAUGUUGUUAUCUUGCUAUCGCUUUUUCUUUCCUGCUGGUUGUUUUGAUUCCUGUCAUAUGUUUUCUUUAUCUAGACCGCAGGUACGUUAAUUUUUCUUUUUUUUUUUUACCCUUGUCCGGAGUUCUCAUUGUUUUGUUUUGUUUUUAUUAUUGAGACUCCAUGUUGAAUUGUUAGUGGAAUCCUGAUGUUCCACCUCCCAAAAUCCUCUUAAGUUAUCUUUAAUUUCUCACAAAAUUCGCUUGUACUCCCGAAGCUCUUUUCCUCUUUUUGGUUAUCUUUAAGGUCACAACUUCAAGUUUCUCCACAUCUUAAGAGCGGUAUCCGAUUUGGUUCCUAAUAACGAGAUGCAGUCCACUGUUUGUGUUGCAUCAAGAACCCCGCUCUUAGGAAUUGUUAUGACGCUUAAACCCAAGAUUCUCUGGGCUUUAUUCUGGUUCCGGUAGUAUACAAGAUUCCAUCGUUCUUUGGCCGGUUUUCAUACUUAGGGAUCUUCUUUCAUGUGAUUUAUGGUAUCAUAAGUAGAAAUCAGUUGACCGGAUGCUUGACUGUGCACCAAAAUACUGUUAGGUGGACUGUGAUGUUCCCUUCUAGUUAUGACUUUAGAAGGUUAAUAGAAGUUGGGAAAAUUCAAACUUACACUUAGCAUUUUCUUCAAUAUAUUAUAUUUCUUAUCUUUUUUCUUAUUAUAAUUAUUUAUUCGAAUAAACAAGUUGAUUGAUACUUGUUAGUAUUUGAAGCAAAGAAAAAUUCAAGGUUACUUGAUGAUAAAAGCCGUAAGAACUUGUGGGUUUUUGGUGGCUCAACUUAUUUUCAAGAGUUUCUGCAUCUCAAUUUUUAGUUUAAAAUGAAGACUGGCUCUUUGAAUAAAGAUUCUUGACAAAGGUCUAUUUGAUGAUAAAAGUGAGAAGGGCUUAAUUAAGGUUUUGAGGAGAUGGAAUUUACUAGCAGGAGCCAGUUUUCUGUUUAAACUAAAACUGGAGAUGCAGUAAUACUUGGAAACUCGA
rnacentral:lncRNA from 1 species